UAAUAUAUCGGAACGUAUCCAAUAAUGGGGGAUAACUAAUCGAAAGGUUGGCUAAUACCGCAUACGCCCUACGGGGGAAAGCAGGGGAUCUUCGGACCUUGCGUUAAUGGAGCGGCUGAUAUCUGAUUAGCUAGUAGGUGAGGUAAAGGCUCACCUAGGCUUCGAUCAGUAGCUGGUCUGAGAGGACGACCAGCCACACUGGAACUGAGACACGGUCCAGACUCCUACGGGAGGCAGCAGUGGGGAAUUUUGGACAAUGGGGGCAACCCUGAUCCAGCCAUUCCGCGUGAGUGAAGAAGGCCUUCGGGUUGUAAAGCUCUUUCGCAAGGGAAGAAACGUUACGAGCGAAUAACUCGUGAUAAUGACGGUACCUUGAUAAGAAGCACCGGCUAACUACGUGCCAGCAGCCGCGGUAAUACGUAGGGUGCGAGCGUUAAUCGGAAUUACUGGGCGUAAAGCGUGCGCAGGCGGUUUUGUAAGUCAGAUGUGAAAUCCCCGAGCUCAACUUGGGAACUGCGUUUGAAACUACAAGGCUAGAGUAUGGUAGAGGGGGGUAGAAUUCCACGUGUAGCAGUGAAAUGCGUAGAGAUGUGGAGGAAUACCAAUGGCGAAGGCAGCCCCCUGGACUAAUACUGACGCUCAUGCACGAAAGCGUGGGGAGCAAACAGGAUUAGAUACCCUGGUAGUCCACGCCCUAAACGAUGUCUACUAGUUGUUGGGAGAGUAAAAUCUC
rnacentral:rRNA from 1 species